GAGGUUGUGCCCUUGAGGCGUGGCUUCCGGAGCUAACGCGUUAAGUCGACCGCCUGGGGAGUACGGCCGCAAGGUUAAAACUCAAAUGAAUUGACGGGGGCCCGCACAAGCGGUGGAGCAUGUGGUUUAAUUCGAUGCAACGCGAAGAACCUUACCUGGUCUUGACAUCCACAGAACCUUGUAGAGAUACGAGGGUGCCUUCGGGAACUGUGAGACAGGUGCUGCAUGGCUGUCGUCAGCUCGUGUUGUGAAAUGUUGGGUUAAGUCCCGCAACGAGCGCAACCCUUAUCCUUUGUUGCCAGCGGUCCGGCCGGGAACUCAAAGGAGACUGCCAGUGAUAAACUGGAGGAAGGUGGGGAUGACGUCAAGUCAUCAUGGCCCUUACGACCAGGGCUACACACGUGCUACAAUGGCGCAUACAAAGAGAAGCGACCUCGCGAGAGCAAGCGGACCUCAUAAAGUGCGUCGUAGUCCGGAUUGGAGUCUGCAACUCGACUCCAUGAAGUCGGAAUCGCUAGUAAUCGUGGAUCAGAAUGCCACGGUGAAUACGUUCCCGGGCCUUGUACACACCGCCCGUCACACCAUGGGAGUGGGUUGCAAAAGAAGUAGGUAGCUUAACCUUCGGGAGGGCGCUUACCACUUUGUGAUUCAUGACUGGGGUGAAGUCGUAACAAGGUAACCGUAGGGGAACCUGCGGUUGGAUCACCUCCUUACCUUAAAGAAGC
rnacentral:rRNA from 1 species